rnacentral:rRNA from 1 species
AGGCAGCAGUAGGGAAUCUUCCGCAAUGGACGAAAGUCUGACGGAGCAACGCCGCGUGAGUGAUGAAGGCUUUCGGGUCGUAAAACUCUGUUGUUAGGGAAGAACAAGUACGAGAGUAACUGCUCGUACCUUGACGGUACCUAACCAGAAAGCCACGGCUAACUACGUGCCAGCAGCCGCGGUAAUACGUAGGUGGCAAGCGUUAUCCGGAAUUAUUGGGCGUAAAGCGCGCGCAGGCGGUUUCUUAAGUCUGAUGUGAAAGCCCACGGCUCAACCGUGGAGGGUCAUUGGAAACUGGGGAACUUGAGUGCAGAAGAGAAAAGCGGAAUUCCACGUGUAGCGGUGAAAUGCGUAGAGAUGUGGAGGAACACCAGUGGCGAAGGCGGCUUUUUGGUCUGUAACUGACGCUGANGGCGCGAAAGCGUGGGGGAGCAAACAGGAUUUAGAUACCCUGGUAGUCCACGCCGUAAACGGAUGAGUGCUAAGUGUUAGANGGGUUUUCCGCCCUUUUAGUGCUGCAGCUAACGCAUUAAAGCACU